UUUGAUUCAUUUUCUGGUUUUAGUAGGUUCUGUUUGAGUCGUUUGUUCUUGAUAUUAGCUGUGAUUGAUUGAGUUUUCAUCAUUUUAUUCUGCUAUUCUUUGCUGAUUUUGAGUCAUUUGCAUGAUUUAAGCAUCAUUUACGGUUUUGUCUUGGUCAUGUCUAAACAUUUGCUGUUUUUGUCAUUAAAUCCGGUUUUCAACCAAGUUUUUGUAUAACUAAAGUGUUUUGGGAUUGGCUACACCGAUUAAGAGCAGUGAACUACCAAGAGUUGAGCUCAGGUGUUUGGAAUUGCCAUCCAUUUCAGAUCUGUACUGGAUCUACUUUGCUGUUUUGAGAAAAUUGUUGUUGCAGCUUCACUUUUCAUUAGGUAACAAUUCUGUUACUGUUUUAUUGAGCUGCAAUUUCUGAGUCAAUGUUUGAAUCAAUUGAAACGUGAAUGUGUGUUGAUUUCCAGUGCUUUUCCAUGUCAAAAUGCAGUAAGCCGAUCUGCACAUCAUCUUUGAUAAACAUUUCUGCAUAAUUGAGUAAGAGUGGUAGUAGAUCAUUGCCAUUCAUCUUUAAAAGUGUUUCUGCUGUUUUGAGNAAAUUUCAAAUACUGUUUCUAAGUCAUUUGAGUGGUUUCCAGUUCAGAAUUCAAGCCAUUGUGUAUUUUGACCAUUUGAGUUGAGAAAUUGAGUUNACAAUGGAACUGCACUAGUCAUUUUCUGGUAUAUGCUGUUUUUGACCAUUAACUUCGAUUCAAACAGUAUAGAAUCACUAUUGGCACAUGUUUGAAUCAUUGCAUUAAGUAACUAGUCAGUUAUGUACAUUUGGUAUUUGGUACUAGCCAAUUUGUGCUUUCAAACUNUUGUGUCCGAGAAGUUCUGCACUGAAUUGUCAAUCUGCAUUGCAUAAUUUUGUUUGAAUCAAAAAGAGUGGAUGUAGCAAAAGCCUUGGUCCAUAAAAUAGCAAAAGAAACAUUCAAAAGAAGUUGUUAAACAUUAAAAGGCAUAACUGGACCAGUGCAUCUCAAUUUUGAAAUCUGUUCUGCACAUUUGCUU
rnacentral:lncRNA from 1 species